AACGAACGCUGGCGGCAUGCCUAACACAUGCAAGUCGAACGAGACCUUCGGGUCUAGUGGCGCACGGGUGCGUAACGCGUGGGAACCUGCCCUUAGGUUCGGAAGAACUCCCCGAAAGGGGUGCUAAUACCGGAUAAUGUCUUCGGACCAAAGAUUUAUCGCCUUUGGAUGGGCCCGCGUUGGAUUAGCUAGUUGGUAGGGUAAAAGCCUACCAAGGCGACGAUCCAUAGCUGGUCUGAGAGGAUGAUCAGCCACCCUGGGACUGAGACACGGCCCAGACUCCUACGGGAGGCAGCAGUGGGGAAUAUUGGACAAUGGGCGAAAGCCUGAUCCAGCAAUGCCGCGUGAGUGAUGAAGGCCUUAGGGUUGUAAAGCUCUUUUACCCGGGAUGAUAAUGACAGUACCGGGAGAAUAAGCUCCGGCUAACUCCGUG
rnacentral:rRNA from 1 species